GAUCCUGGCUCAGGAUGAACGCUGGCGGCGUGCUUAACACAUGCAAGUCGAGCGAAGCACUUAGGAAAGAUUCUUCGGAUGAUUUCCUAUUUGACUGAGCGGCGGACGGGUGAAGGUAACGCGUGGGUAACCUGCCUCAUACAGGGGGAUAACAGUUAGAAAUGACUGCUAAUACCGCAUAAGACCACAGCACCACAUGGUGCAGGGGUAAAAACUGAGGUGGUACAAGAUGGGCCCGCGU
rnacentral:rRNA from 1 species